UCAGGUACAUGAGUAGAUCUAGAGUAGUAUUUGUACAAACUCUCUUUUAAUUAACAUAAGUCGUUGUACUAGGAUUUUUGAAUACAGAGCACUAAUAUCUGACCAUGGUUAUCUUUCAUAGGUAAAAGUCCCACGUCGACUUCUGAGAGUGUCCCACAGAGAAAAAGGAAACGAGUUAACGAGGUGGAUGAAGAUGGAGGUUCUGACCUCUUGUCCCCCAAAAGGAGACUGGAGCCCCUCAGUGAAGAUGGGAGUUCAGAUGUAGAUGAUCAGAGUCCAGGAAAAAGCUUGGUGAAGAGGCCCUCACAGAAGAAGAAAAGACGUAAAAAGUCCACGACAGUGGAAGCAAUGGAUGGAGUUUCUGACCUCUUGUCCCCCAAAAAGAGACUGGAUUCCUGCAGUGACGAGGGGAGUUUAAAUAUAGAUGAUCAGAGUCCAGGAAAAAGCUUGGUGAAGAGGCCCUCACAGAAGAAGAAAAGACGUAAAAAGUCUACGACAGUGGAAGCAAU